CUUGUAUGGAAUAUUUAUUCAAGACAAAGAGAAGAAUAUUCUAGAUGCAAAAUCCAGCAAAUUUUGUCAUCAGAGUCAGCAUCAUUUUUUGACAUACAAACCAGAUUUUGAGUGGGUUCCAUCCUGCCUCUGCAGAAUGUUCUAAGGAGCAAGGAUCUACAGAAACUAGGACAACGGUCCCUCAGUGAGAUAUGUGCAUGGGCGCUUCUGAGGCUUCUCAUUCAUUACUCACGUGCUGGUCUCCAUGGACAUUUAGUUAUGCAGCAGACCACCUUAAAACACAUGGCAAAUGCCAGUAGGCAGCCUAGAGCCUGGAAACGGAUUUAGGCGGGGCCCCGGAUGUGGUG